rnacentral:lncRNA from 1 species
UGUUGGGGUGCCUCCAGGACCAGGGUUGGGAACCACUGCACUAGACCAUCCAUUGCUGUCAAAUGACAUGCCUUGCGUCACAGAAAAUGCAUGUUGCAUGCCUGCAGCAUCCAGGAGCUAUCAGUAUGCAUCUCUUGAACUCGUCAUGGUGUGAGGAGAUGCCAGGGUCAAGGUGCCAAGCUUUGUCUCUGGACUGUGUAAAUUGAGCCAGUGAGUUCCCCAGGCGCCCUCCCUCUGGUGGAGACCUGCCACAGCGGUAGUGCAAUUUGUCCAACCUGAAUGCUCUCGGUGCCUCCGGGGACUCUCUCUAAGUGCUAAAUGACCCGG